UUUACCCAAAAUAACAAUUAAGAAAAUGGGUUAAUUUCGCUCUCCUUCUUCCCAGUUUGAAUCCGCCACUCCUUUUCAUUUCUCUACACUGUUUAAAUCGGAAAGUUCAGCUGCUCCGGCGAAAAUCCGGCAACUAACAGAUUAAGAAACACUCCAAGAAGAGUUAUUUCAAAUGUCUGGUUUGGGUGCUUCCAAAGUAUUCCGUGUGGUAGCUACAGCUGCUGCUACAGUUCUUGGUGGAAGUUUCGCUAUCGGUUUUCUGAGCUCUUCCGUUUCUGAUCGCAUCGCCUCGAUUAAAAAGGUCAGUUUUGCAGACAAAAUACGGGAAAUCGUGUCGGAAUUGUAAAGCAAUAGGGUACUACAAGUGCAAGCUGUGUGAAGGGAAUGGCACGAUAAAGUGGUCCCCGCUCUAUGAUCCAAUUUUUAUCAAUCCAUGUGUUUGCCCUACUUGUGAUGGAUUCAAGGUUCAAAGAUGCCUCAACUGCUUGGGAUAUGGCUCUGUAUAGAAAAAAAAAAACCAGGGGCAGGGUGUAAGUAAUUGGUUUCUGACUAUUGUUUUUUAGAGUUUAUGGUCAUUUUCUUGAAUUAUUAAUUUUUUUUUUGUUUGAGAAAUAAUUAUUAAUUAAACAUAUGUGAUGUUUAGCAUGUAACUUUGAGUUUGGGCUUGGAUCCACAAUUUUGGUGUUGGGCUUUGAGUAAAUUAAUCGAAGCUUAACAAAUUAAA